AGGUAAUCUACCCUCUGGCGGGGGACAACACUUCCGAAAGGAAUGCUAAUACCGCGUAAGACCCCACCUACUACGGUAGGAGAGGUUAAAGGUGCCCCAAAGCACCACCAGAGGAUGAGCCUGCGUCCCAUCAGCUAGUUGGUGAGGUAACGGCUUACCAAGGCGAAGACGGGUAGCUGGUCUGAGAGGAUGAUCAGCCACACUGGUACUGGAACACGGACCAGACUCCUAC
rnacentral:rRNA from 1 species